GAUUGAUGACUAACCCUAUGUAAGAGUUGUAAUAAAUUAAUUUACUAAUUAUUGAUGAAUUAUAGGAGAAUUGAUUAGUGAUUAGAUUGUUAAUUAGCUAAAUUUGAAUGAGCAUUGAGGUUUAGAUCAAAUCUAAUUAUAUUGGAUUCAAUUUCAUUUGAUCCGAUUAGGUUAUGAGAUGACCUAAUUGCUAAGGGAGAUCGAUUCCUGAUUUGAUCAAAAUUUGAGCUCGAUUAAUUUUUAUUUUGAUUAAGAUUUAAUUGAGGCUAUUUAUUACCUAAUUAAAUUAGCUUCAGUGGUCUAAUUGGGUCUAACCUAAUUUGAUUGGGCUAAGAACCUAAUUGGAUGAGAAAUUGAAUUCAAAUUCAAACUGGACAAAUCCCCUGCACCUCCUUUCUCUAUGCCCACCUUUUCUACAAGCGAG
rnacentral:lncRNA from 1 species